GGGGAUGAUCGGCCUAGACAGGAGAUCAAAUCAUAUUUGUGCAAAGUAGAGCUCUGAUACCUCUUAAAACUUUCAGAAAUUCUAAGUGCAAAAAACUUAGUUACAAAAGCAAAAGUAUCUCCAUAUUUUGGAAAUAACUUUGCUUUCGCUUUAGCGUAAGCCAAAGCGACGUCGCCCAAGUCCGCUCCCGUAAAGCUUGGUGUGGUGUUAUAUCCUCGGGAUAGAGUGCCGGGUCGUUUCGACUGACAUUUGAAAAUAAUUGAAGCUAGUGCUGUCGUGGUUUUGUGUAUUUCCUACACGACAACGCAAAUCGCCUUUCGGGGCGUAGAAACACACUACACUUUGUAGACUCAUAUAUGAUCAUUUCUUGCACCCGAGUUCGAUUCUCGGCAUCUCCACCA
rnacentral:tmRNA from 1 species